rnacentral:rRNA from 1 species
UAGCCGCGCUGAGAGGGCGACCGGCCACACUGGGACUGAGACACGGCCCAGACUCCUACGGGAGGCAGCAGUGGGGAAUAUUGCACAAUGGGCGCCAGUCUGAUGCGGCGCCGCCGCGUGAGGGAUGACGGCCUUCGGGUUGUAAACCUCUUUCAGCAGGGAAGAAGCGAGAGUGACGGUACCUGCGGAAGAAGCGCCGGCUAACUACGUGCCAGCAGCCGCGGUAAUACGUAGGGCGCAAGCGUUGUCCGGAAUUAUUGGGCGUAAAGAGCUCGUAGGCGGCUUGUCACGUCGGAUGUGAAAGCCCGGGGCUUACCCCCGGGUCUGCAUUCGAUACGGGCAGGCUAGAGUUCGGUAGGGGAGAUCGGAUUUCCUGGUGUAGCGGUGAAAUGCGCAGAUAUCAGGAGGAACACCGGUGGCGAAGGCGGAUCUCUGGGCCGAUACUGACGCUGAGGAGCGAAAGCGUGGGGGAGCGAACAGGAUUAGAUACCCUGUAGUCCACGCCGUAAACGGUGGGCACUAGGUGUGGGCGACAUUCCACGUCGUCCGUGCCGCAGCUAACGCAUUAAGUGCCCCGCCUGGGGAGUACGGACCACAA